rnacentral:rRNA from 1 species
CCUACGGGAGGCAGCAGUGGGGAAUAUUGGGCAAUGGGCGCAAGCCUGACCCAGCAACGCCGCGUGAAGGAAGAAGGCUUUCGGGUUGUAAACUUCUUUUCUGAGGGACGAAGAAAGUGACGGUACCUCAUGAAUAAGCCACGGCUAACUCCGUGCCAGCCGCCGCGGUAAUACGUAGGUGGCAAGCGUUAUCCGGAUUUACUGGGUGUAAGGGGCGUGUAGGCGGGAAAGCAAGUCAGAUGUGAAAACCAUGGGCUAAACCUGGGGCCUGCAUUUGAAACUGUGUUUCUUGAGUGCUGGUGAGGCAGGCGGAAUUCGUAGUGUAGCGGUGAAAUGCGUAGAUAUUAGGAGGAACACCAGUGGCGAAGGUGGUUCGCUGGACAGCAACUGACGCUGAGGCGCGAAAGCGUGGGGAGCAAACAGGAUUAGAUACCCUUGUAGUC